rnacentral:rRNA from 1 species
UGGGGAAUCUUCCGCAAUGGACGAAAGUCUGACGGAGCAACGCCGCGUGAGUGAAGAAGGUUUUCGGAUCGUAAAACUCUGUCUUUUGGGGCGAACGUGAGUAUGGUGAACAAUCAUAGUCAGUGACGGUACCAAAGGAGGAAGCCACGGCUAACUACGUGCCAGCAGCCGCGGUAAUACGUAGGUGGCAAGCGUUGUCCGGAAUUAUUGGGCGUAAAGAGCGCGUAGGCGGGAUAGUCAGUCUGUUGUAAAAGUGCGGGGCUCAACCCCGUGAUGGCAAUGGAAACAGCUAUUCUUGAGUGCAGGAGAGGAAAGUGGAAUUCCCAGUGUAGCGGUGAAAUGCGUAGAUAUUGGGAGGAACACCAGUGGCGAAGGCGACUUUCUGGACUGUGUCUGACGCUGAGGCGCGAAAGCCAGGGGAGCGAACGGGAUUAGAUACCCCGGUAGUCCUGGCCGUAAACGAUGGGUACUAGGUGUGGGAGGUAUCGACCCCCUUCCGUGCCGGAGUUAACGCAAUAAGUACCCCGCCUGGGGAGUACGGUCGCAAGAUUAAAACUCAAAGGAAUUGACGGGGUCAUAGCUGUUUCCUG